rnacentral:tRNA from 1 species
CGUUCUGUGGUGUAAUGGUUAGCACUUUGGACUCUGAAAUCAAGGAUCCGAGUUCAAGUUUCGGUAGAACCU